UACGUAGGGGGCAAGCGUUGUCCGGAUUUAUUGGGCGUAAAGAGCGUGUAGGCGGCCAUACAGGUCGGUUGUGAAAACUGGAGGCUUAACCUCCAGACGUCGAUGGAAACCGUAUGGCUAGAGUCCGGAAGAGGAGAGUGGAAUUCCUGGUGUAGCGGUGAAAUGCGCAGAUAUCAGGAAGAACACCCGUGGCGAAGGCGGCUCUCUGGGACGGUACUGACGCUGAGACGCGAAAGCGUGGGGAGCGAACAGG
rnacentral:rRNA from 1 species